CGACCGCUGGCGGCGUGCUUACCACAUGCACGUCGAACGGCAAGGCCCUGCUUUUGUGGGGUGCUCGAGUGGCGAACGGGUGAGUAACACGUGAGUAACCUGCUCUUGACUUUGGGAUAACUUCAGGAAACUGGGGCUAAUACCGGAUAGGAGCUCCUGCUGCAGGGUGGGGGUUGGAAAGCUUCGGCGGUUGGGGAUGGACUCGCGGCUUAUCAGCUUGUGUGGGGGGUAGUGGCUUACCAAGGCUUUGACGGGUAGCCGGCCUGAGAGGGUGACCGGCCACAUUGGGACUGAGAUACGGCCCAGACUCCUACGGGAGGCAGCAGUGGGGAAUAUUGCACAGUGGGCGGAAGCCUGAUGCGGCAACGCCGCGUGCGGGAUGACGGCCUUCGGGUUGUAAACCGCUUUCGCCUGUGACGAAGCGUGAGUGACGGUAAUGGGUAAAGAAGCACCGGCUAACUACGUG
rnacentral:rRNA from 1 species